rnacentral:rRNA from 1 species
CACGUAGGCACCAAGCGUUGUCCGGAUUUAUUGGGCGUAAAGAGCUCGUAGGCGGUUCGGUAAGUCGGGUGUGAAACUUUGGGCUCAACCCAAAGCCUGCACUCGAUACUGCUGUGACUUGAGUCCGGUAGGGGAGUGGGGAAUUCCUGGUGUAGCGGUGGAAUGCGCAGAUAUCAGGAGGAACACCAGUGGCGAAGGCGCCGCUCUGGGCCGUGACUGACGCUGAGGAGCGAAAGCGUGGGUAGCAAACAGG